rnacentral:rRNA from 1 species
AUGAACGCUGGCGGCGUGCCUAACACAUGCAAGUCGAACGGUAACAGGUCUAGUUUACUAGAUGCUGACGAGUGGCGGACGGCUGAGUAACGCGUGGGAACGUGCCCCAAAGUGAGGAAUAAGCACCGGAAACGGUGUCUAAUGCCGCAUAUGAUCUUCGGAUUAAAGAAUUUAUUCGCUUUGGGAGCGGCCCGCGUUAGAUUAGGUAGUUGGUGAGGUAAAGGCUCACCAAGCCCACGAUCUAUAGCUGGUCUGAGAGGAUGACCAGCCAGACUGGAACUGAGACACGGUCCAGACUCCUACGGGAGGCAGCAGUGAGGAAUCUUCCACAAUGGGCGAAAGCCUGAUGGAGCAACGCCGCGUGCAGGAUGAAGGCCUUCGGGUCGUAAACUGCUUUUAUAAGUGAAGAAUAUGACGGUAACUUAUGAAUAAGGAUCGGCUAACUACGU